AGGAGUGAAGAACAGUCCUUGUAAACUGCAAUCUUCAGAGCUGAUGGGGUUUUCUUUCCUUUUUUCUUCUCGUUGCCGUGGCAACUCGGUAGGACAGCUUCAAAUGGCAGAAUUCUUACAGACCUAAAGGAGGAGAUGGGACAAUGCAGGCACCUGGAUGCCAACACUGCCUGCCCCUUCCCUGCAGUGCCUCAGUUCUGCUAAACAAAGGAGACUGCAGUGGCAGAUCCCAAGCAGGGCUGGAGGAAACCAAAGUGCUCUUUCUUCUGACCCUGGCAAGGGCAGUGCUGAAUCCUUGGUUGUGCCUCCCCUCUUUCCUGCCAGGUACUCACACACACUCCCUGUGUAAUGAGCUGUUCCUAACAAGUGAAUAAAAUAAACAUUUUCUGA